GUUUCCACCCUCGAGUGCCUGCUGGAGCUCCCUGCUGUCUGCAAAGCACCACUCAGGAGGAAAAGAGAUGUUCUCCCCUUCUCUCGCGAUAACCUGUACAUGUCUGAAACUGCAGGUGACUGGUUAUUCUCAAGCGGAUAAUCUCCUUCCUCUCCUGUGGUAUCUCAGAGUACUGGUGGCAUGAUGACUGUAUUGCCGUAGCAGCGGAGGCCACUGCAGAAAAAUGUCCUUUGCCUUCAAAGCAUAGCACUGUGGGAGGUCGCAAGGGGAUGGCUGUUCUGGUGCCCCUCACUGUACUUCCAAACAGCAGGAACUUUUUGCAAACCUCUGAAAUGGGUUGGCUGGAAGGAACAAUUAUGGAUGGGCAUGAAUGUGGGCAGUAGCUUGAACCUUCUCUUCAUUUCUUUAUUAAAUCUGGGGAAUAACAGAAGCACACUCCUCU